AUGUAUAUUUUGCCCUUAGGCCAUUUCAUGGGCAAGAAAAGUGUGGAUAGCUCGUUUUUGGAAUCUUCCUUCGGGGGUGGAAAAAAGAUCCCUUUUGGAGUUCAGUCUGCCAACCCCAAGCGCAAGGCAGAGAGUUUGACAGAGCUGUUAAUUGAAGAGGUGCUGAAAAGGGCUCUACAGAUUCCGCAGAAACGGGGCAUUAGAUCGGGAGGCGGUUUUCCUGAUGAAAUUACUGGACAACAUUUGAACCAACAGAAAUAAACUGAGAAGGCAGAGGGCACGCAACACCUGUACAGUAUCAACCCAGAAAGAAGAUGAAUGGAGGAUUUCAAUAAAGUCAUCAUAUCGACAUUCGCAAAAUGUUAAUCUAAACCAGCGUUUCUCAAACUCGGUCCUCAGGACCCCAAGAGGUGCACGUUUUGGUUUUUGUCCUAGCACUACACAACUGAUUAAAAUAAUCAACUAAUCAUCAAGCUUUGAUUAUUUGAAUCAGCCGUGUAGUACUAGGGCAGAAACCAAAACGUGCACCCCUUUGAGUCUCCAGGACCAAGUUUGGGAAAGCUGAGCUAAACUAGCCUAAUGUAUUAUUUAAAAAAUAAAAAUAAAUUAUAUAUAUAUAUAUAUACAUAUAUUUCGCCCCAUAAUUAUACACUCUUGUAGUGCUUCUCAUAUCUGAAUAAAAAUUGAAUAACAAAAAUGUUUCAUGUCUUGAGGCAAUUUAGGUCACUAUCACCCACAUUUAUCAUAUAAAAUGAAGCCUGUCCACUACACUUAUUGUUUUAGCAAUUAAUCGAUGUUGUAUCAACGCUUCUUUAUACUAUAAAUGGAUAAUCUGUUCAGCUUUAGAGCAUAUGCCCUUCACGUCACUUAAUGCUUUGAUUAUCAAUGAUGUGUGAUGUGAAGAUAUACCAAAGAUUAUAUUUUACAUAAACCUUGUCCAUCUGUGGUUAUACACUGAACAAAAAAUAUGAACGCAACAUGUCAAGUGUUGAUUUCAUGAGCUGAUAUGUGAAAGAUCCCAGAAAAUGUUUCCUUAUGCACAAAAAGCUUAUUCCUCUCAAAUGUUGUGCACAAAUGUGUUUACAUCUCUGUUAGAGAGCAUUUCUCCUUUGCCAAGAGAAUCCAUCCACUUGGCAUAUCAAGAAACGGAUUAAUCGGCAUGAUCAUUACACAGGUGCACCUUGUGCUGGGGACAAUAAAAGGCCCCUCUUAAAAUGUGUAGUUUUGUCACACAACACAAUGCCACAGAUGUCUCAAGUUUUGAGGGAUUGCGCCAUUGGCAUGCUGACCAGGGGCGGAGCCAGAGGGGUGUCCAGGUUGGCACUGGACACCCCUGACAUCUGAUUGGCCACCCCGGGUGACACCCUAAAAUUUAAUUCGCUACUGGCAGUUUGAUGCUGAUUGACAUCUCAUUUCACCUCUUGUUGAAAGAAGCAUUUAUUUUGACGUUAGGUGGCGCAUUUUUCAAAUCGAGGACGAGGAAGAGAGAAUAUUAACGUUGGUUGCGAGAUACAGAAGAAGAAGAAGAACAUAUAGAAGAAGAGAUAAUAUUUCCACAGCUUCACGAUCUAUUUUCGAGAUUGGCGAAAGCAUCAUAUUUGAAGUAAGUUUUAAGGUUUAGCAUCGGGUUUAGGUUUACUGAAAAACUAUUACGAAAGUUAAGUCGCUGUGUAAGUUAACUUUAAACAUUUGGCUCCAUUAACAGACAGUUAAUCAGAUAAGAGAGAUCGAGGUCAGCUAGGACACUGACAUUCUAAAAUGAUAUAUCCAAAGGGUAUCAUGUCACACAGAUUUAAUUUGGUCUUGAUUAGGCCAAUUCCAAAAUGUUUCUUUGCUAUUAGUUAAAAUAAUAUAUAUGAGCAUAAAUAGGAUACUGUAAGUUUGUAAUAUUGAUGGGCACUAAAAUUAUUAAUAUUUGAUUAUGCCUGGUAUGUCAAAUUGCAGUGUGUUUUUUUUUGUAAAUAAACAACGCAAUUUAUGUAACACACAAAUGCUAUCUUAUCUCCUUGGUGCUUGAGCUUUAUUUUCUGAAAAUACUUUGGAUGUUCAACACGUAUAGACCCAGAUUAUAUAUUCAUGAAAACAGAGUGACCCAAGUCUCUCCAGUAUGUGAGUACAGUGUGUGUGUGUGUGAGAGAGAAAUAAAGAAAUUGAGCUGCAGUUCUGAGGUAGAGACUGUGACUAUUCAUAGUAUUUUGAAGAAUUACAGUGAAGUAACCCUUUUGGACCAUACUAUCACACUAUCACCACAUUUAAGAACUCCAGGUUAAGUGAAUUAUCACUUCUACCUCUAAUCAGUAAUCAUAGGAUUCAUUCAUGCUCCUUAGAUGCUAGGUUAGGGUUACACACAAAUUUUCUGUCAUGGUCUAUGGACACCCUGAAGUAGCCUUGGCCAACCCACGUGUAAAACUCGAGUUCCUGACUGCAGGAAUGUCCACCAGAACUGUUGCCAGAGAAUGUAACGUUCAUUUCUCUACCGUAAGCCGCCUCCAACGUGGUUUUAGAUAAUUUGGCAGUAGGUCCAACCAGCUUCACAACUGGCAGACCACGUGUAUGGUGUCAUGUGGGCGAGCGAUUUGCUGAUGUCAAUGUUGUGAACAGAGUGCUGCAUGAAACUACGGACAACGAACACAAUUGCAUUUUAUCGAUGGAAAUUUGAAUGCACAACAAUACAGUGAUGAGAUCCUGAGGCCCAUUGUGAGGCCCAUUUUUUUUCAAGGUAUCUGUGACCAACAGAUGCAUAUCUAUAUUCCCAGUCGUGAAAUCCAUAGAUUAGGAUCUAAUGGAUUGAAUUCAAUUUACUGAUUUCCUCAUAUUAACUGUAACUCAGUAAAACCAAUGAAAAUGUUGCAUUUAUAUUUUUGUUCAGUAUAGUCAUGACAGUGAUAGACGAGACUCCAUUUCACACCAUGGAUGAAAGCCCAUUUAAUAUAUUCCCAGUAUGGGACCUCUUAUGUGUGCACGCGCCCCCAAAAAUGUAGCCUAAUCAUAGAAUUACAUACAAUCCCUUUUAAUUCAAUAGGAUCUCUGUAAGUGUAGUAGUAAAGAUUUGUCAUUUAACUUUUAAAAUGUAUUACCUCAUAUUC
rnacentral:lncRNA from 13 species